GUCCUCUUGAAUUUAAUUUGAGGUCUAGCCUGCCCACUGAAAUUAUUUAAAUGGCCGCAGUAAUUUGACUGUGCAAAGGUAGCAUAAUCAUUAGUUUUUUAAUUAAAAGCUUGUAUGAAUGGUUGGACAAAGUAAAAUCUGUCUCUAUUUAAUUUAUAAUAGAAUUUAAUUUUUAAGUUAAAAAGCUUAAAUUUUUAUAAAAGACGAGAAGACCCUAUAGAUCUUUAUUUAGAUUUAUAUAAUUUUAAUUUAGAAUUUUUUAUUAAUUAUAUUUUUUUAAAUUUUAUUGGGGUAAUAAAAAGAUUAAAAAAAUUCUUUUUUUAAUAUACAUUGAUUUAUGAAUAAAUGAUCCAAUAUUUUUGAUUAAAAGAUUAAGUUACCUUAGGGAUAACAGCGUAAUUUUUUUAGAGAGUUCAUAUCGAUAAAAAAGUUUGCGA
rnacentral:rRNA from 1 species